GAGUUUGAUCAUGGCUCAGAUUGAACGCUGGCGGCAUGCCUAACACAUGCAAGUCGAACGGUAACAGGUCUUCGGAUGCUGACGAGUGGCGGACGGGUGAGUAAUGCGUAGGAAUCUGUCUUUUAGUGGGGGACAACCCAGGGAAACUUGGGCUAAUACCGCAUGAGCCCUGAGGGGGAAAGCGGGGGAUCUUCGGACCUCGCGCUAAGAGAGGAGCCUACGUCCGAUUAGCUAGUUGGCGGGGUAAAGGCCCACCAAGGCGACGAUCGGUAGCUGGUCUGAGAGGACGACCAGCCACACUGGGACUGAGACACGGCCCAGACUCCUACGGGAGGCAGCAGUGGGGAAUUUUUCGCAAUGGGGGCAACCCUGACGAAGCAAUGCCGCGUGGAUGAAGAAGGCCUUCGGGUUGUAAAGUCCUUUCGUGGAGGACGAAAAGGUGGGUUCUAAUACAAUCUGCUAUUGACGUGAAUCCAAGAAGAAGCACCGGCUAACUCCGUGCCAGCAGCCGCGGUAAUACGGGGGGUGCAAGCGUUAAUCGGAAUCACUGGGCGUAAAGG
rnacentral:rRNA from 1 species